AAUGGACGAAAGUCUGACGCAGCCACGCCGCGUGAGUGAAGAAGGCCUUCGGGUUGUAAAGCUCUGUCGGAAGGGACAAAAACUCUAGUGGUGAAUAGCCAUUAGACUUGAUGGUACCUUCGAAGGAAGCACCGGCUAACUUCGUGCCAGCAGCCGCGGUAAUACGAAGGGUGCAAGCGUUGCUCGGAAUUAUUGGGCGUAAAGGGCAAGUAGGUGGUCAUAUAAGUCUGUGGUGAAAUCCCUGAGCUCAACUCAGGACGUGCCAUGGAAACUGUAUGACUAGAGUAUCGGAGAGGUUCGUGGAAUUCCCGGUGUAGCGGUGAAAUGCGUAGAGAUCGGGAGGAACACCAGAGGCGAAAGCGACGAACUGGACGAUGACUGACACUCAAUUGCGAAAGCGUGGGUAGCAAA
rnacentral:rRNA from 1 species